AGUGGGGUGGCUGAGAAUAAUAAGUAGGCGAUAGGCUGUAAAUCUAUUUAGGGGCGUUUACGUCGCUCCUCCACUA
rnacentral:tRNA from 1 species